rnacentral:snRNA from 1 species
AUCGCUUCUCGGCCUUUUGGCUAAGAUCAAGUGUAGUAUCUGUUCUUAUCAGUUUAACAUAUGUUAACUAAUUGAAUCCUUAAUACAAGUCUAUAAGGAAGGCAUUCCAUCAUUUGUUGUCCAGAUGAAGAAAUGAAACAAGUUUGUCACUUGCUUGAGGUAACCAUCU